rnacentral:lncRNA from 1 species
CGCCUGCGCCCAGAUUAACUGAUGUCCUCCAUGUCCAGCUGCUGUGCUCACUCACACCCGGCUGUUUAAGAUGUUCCAGCUCUCCAUGAUGCUGCAGGAGGGACCAAUGUACCUAUAGCAGAUGUUCCAGCUCUCCAUGAUGCUGCAGGAGGGACCAAUGUACCUAUAGCAGGUACUGUGUGUGUGUGUGUGUGUGUGUGUGUGUGUGUGUGUGUGUGUGUGUGUGUGUGUGUGUGUGUGUGUGUGUGUGUGUGUGUGUGUGUGUUUUCUUUAUUGUAUUAUACAUAACUAAAAUAUGAAUGAACAGGAUGUUGUGUGGAUCUGUGUAUCAGUGUGUAGAGGAGGAAACAUGUGCACUUUAAUUACCAUAGUGUCCUCUCAAUGGACAGAUGUGAUGACGAGGGUGCAGACAGUGAACGCUGGAGUCCCGUCCCCUAACAUGGCUGCUUCUGAUUGCACCUACUUGUUGUCUGCGGGGCUCCACUACAUAGUAACAACCGGGUGGAUGUUACGUUACGAUGGAUGGAUGAUGGAUGACACAUGAAUUUGCUGCUUUAUAGAUUUUUAGGUUUUUGACGUUGUAAUAAUAAGAAAGAAAGUGCAUAAGAAGACGUGCUGUUUGAUAAAUAUACACCUACUGACCCAGAGAGAGCUGAGUGUAGUAACCCAAACACACAGAAUCUAUGACAAGACUCACAAUGUUACAUCCCAUUUACGUCUCUAACUCUCUUUCUUUCUGUCUCUGACUCAUAACUUCCCAAGUUCCCAAGCAUUUUUCAGUUUGAGGAUCGAUAAAAACUAACAUUUGGCUGCUAAGUGCUGAUUCUCAUAAAAUAUAGCUAAACCUGGAAACACACACACACACACCCACACACACACACCCACUCUCUCUCUAUCCCUCCAACAUGUAUCUCCAACAUGUAUCUCCAACAUGUCCCUUCCCAGUAUGUGAACCAUUCAGUGUCAUCAGGGGUCGUGGAACGCAGCAGAGCCCAACCCUGGAGGUUAUUUCUGUCUCCCUGCUAACCAUCCAGCCCCACCCGUCCAACGUGUGUGUGUGUGUGUGUGUGUGUGUGUGUGUGUGUGUGUGUGUGUGUGUGUGUGUGUGUGUGUGUGUGUGCCCCGAGGACCACCCAGUUGAAUGUAUUCAUUUACUUUGUAGUAUUGUGACGGAUGAUAUCUUCUGUGUUUGUGUUACUCUUCAUCCAGAUGUUCCAGCUCUCCAUGAUGCUGCAGGAGGGACCAAUGUACCUAUAGCAGGCAUGAUCAGCGUCGGACAAACACAGCAGCCAGAGAAGAACUAAAGCAUCACAACUGCACAUUCAACUGGAUUUACUGUGUACUGUGUUUAGUGGAAUAUUUGUUUGUAUUUUAUAAAGCUAAUUCAGGCCCCUUCGAGUUUAUAUUGUGGGUUUCCUUUAUAUUUGUCAUUGAUAUGGAUAAUUUACCGAUAUGUAUUUUUUCCAAGAAAAAUAAUCCAAUGAGGCUGAAUAGAAAUACUUAACUGUCUUCAUUAUGUCAUUUAUUUUUACUCCUAAAUUGGUCAGGCUCUCCUGCAUUGAAACUGAUAAAGGAAAUAAAAGCUUCUGUUUCUGAGCUCUCAUCUCGUGCUUCUGGAUAUGGAUUCUCUCCUGUGUGAUUAAUUGCUUGGCCGUUAACGGCUCUA